CUACUAAGUACUGCGGAGGACAUUAAGAAUUGAAAUAUUUGUGAAAUUUACACAGCAAACAAUAAUUUUAUAAUCAAAACAAAAAUAAUCAAAACUUUUAACAAUGGAUCUCUUGGUUCUCGUAUCGAUGAAGAACGCAGCGAAACGCGAUAUUUCUUGUGAAUUGCAGAAGUGAAUCAUCAGUUUUUGAACGCACAUUGCACUUUGGGGUAUCCCCCAAAGUAUACUUGUUUGAGCGUUGUUUCUCUCUUGGAAUUGCAUUGCUUUUCUAAAAUUUCGAAUCAAAUUCGUUUGAAAAACAACACUAUUCAACCUCAGAUCAAGUAGGAUUACCCGCUGAACUUAAGCAUAUCAAUAAGCGGAGGAAAAGAAACCAACAGGGAUUGCCUUAGUAACGGCGAGUGAAGCGGCAAAAGCUCAAAUUUGAAAUCGGCCACCAGGUCGAGUUGUAAUUUGUAGAUUGUAUCUUGAGAGCGGAUUAAAGUCUGUUGGAACACAGCGCCUUAGAGGGUGACAGCCCCGUAAAAUCUAUUCUCAUUGUAAGAUACUUUCGAAGAGUCGAGUUGUUUGGGAAUGCAGCUCUAAGUGGGAGGUAAAUUCCUUCUAAAGCUAAAUAUUGACGAGAGACCGAUAGCGAACAAGUACUGUGAAGGAAAGAUGAAAAGCACUUUGAAAAGAGAGUGAAAAAGUACGUGAAAUUGUUAAAAGGGAAGGGUAUUGAAUCAGACUUGGUGCUGUUGUUCAACUGUGUUUCGGCAUAGUGUACUCAGCAGUACUAGGCCAAGGUGGGGUGUUUGGGAGUGAAAAAGAAGUUGGAAGGUAACUCUUCGGAGUGUUAUAGCCUACUUUCAUAGCUCCUCAGGCGCCUCAGGACUGCGCUUCGGCAAGGACCUGCAUAGACGCGCCCUUUUUAAAAAUACUAUU
rnacentral:rRNA from 1 species